rnacentral:rRNA from 1 species
AAUGGGUCAGCGACUUAUAUUCUGUAGCAAGGUUAACCGAAUAGGGGAGCCGAAGGGAAACCGAGUCUUAACUGGGCGUUAAGUUGCAGGGUAUAGACCCGAAACCCGGUGAUCUAGCCAUGGGCAGGUUGAAGGUUGGGUAACACUAACUGGAGGACCGAACCGACUAAUGUUGAAAAAUUAGCGGAUGACUUGUGGCUGGGGGUGAAAGGCCAAUCAAACCGGGAGAUAGCUGGUUCUCCCCGAAAGCUAUUUAGGUAGCGCCUCGUGAAUUCAUCUCCGGGGGUAGAGCACUGUUUCGGCAAGGGGGUCAUCCCGACUUACCAACCCGAUGCAAACUGCGAAUACCGGAGAAUGUUAUCACGGGAGACACACGGCGGGUGCUAACGUCCGUCGUGAAGAGGGAAACAACCCAGACCGCCAGCUAAGGUCCCAAAGUCAUGGUUAAGUGGGAAACGAUGUGGGAAGGCCCAGACAGCCAGGAUGUUGGCUUAGAAGCAGCCAUCAUUUAAAGAAAGCGUAAUAGCUCACUGGUCGAGUCGGCCUGCGCGGAAGAUGUAACGGGGCUAAACCAUGCACCGAAGCUGCGGCAGCGACGCUUAUGCGUUGUUGGGUAGGGGAGCGUUCUGUAAGCCUGUGAAGGUGUGCUGUGAGGCAUGCUGGAGGUAUCAGAAGUGCGAAUGCUGACAUAAGUAACGAUAAAGCGGGUGAAAAGCCCGCUCGCCGGAAG